rnacentral:lncRNA from 1 species
AGUGGUGAAGGCUGGCGAUUUCUGGUCUAGGGUGAGAGAUAACAGAAAGUAACAAUGGAGGCUCUCGCAGUGCUCGCAGGCACUCAAGGAACGGAAAGGAAAUUGCACAUUUCACCCGUGACUGCAUAGGCAAACGAGAACAGCAAGUCUCUGCUUUCAGCUGGAAUGUUAUCAACUUCGGUCACGCUGAUUAUCUCAGGCUGAUCAGGAAGGCUGGUACCAGGAGUGAGUGACUAAAUGAAGAAAUUACUAAUUAACAAAUGCUUGGGUGGACAAUCCUUCAAAAUUUAGGAUCAAUGGGAGGAGACAGAAGGAGUCUUGGGAGGAUUUUUAAAAUAUGCCAGAGCUGGCUGGGUACAGUGGCUCACACCUGUAACCUGAGGACUUUGAGGUGGAGACGGGCAGACCACCUGAGCUCAGGAGCUCAAGACCAGCCUGGGCAACAUGGCAAAACCCUGUCUCUACUAACACUAUAAAAAGUUAGCUGGGCGUGUUGGUGCAUGCUGUAGUCCCAGCUACUCAGGAGGCUGAGCCACGAGAAUCGCUUGAACCUGGGAGAUGGAGGUUGAAGUGAGCCAAGAUCGCACCAUUGCACUCCAGCCUGGGGAAAAAAAAAAGCCAGGCCUCCUAAUGUACUCAUUUAAACAUCACUUGUGUCCACCUGGGUUCAGAAUUGCGCUGGACAUGGGAUACACAAAGCGGGAGUGGAAUUUUCAGGAAGCAGCUGUGCUGUGGGUGACGGUCAUACUUUAUUCUCUAAAACUCUCCAGUUUCAAUUGGCCUCUUGGUGCCAAAGCACCAUGGCGUGUUACACCUAUCAGAUCGGGCACACUGCCCCUUCUUCCCAACCUACGAGCUGAAAUGGCCAGCACUGCGCCUUCCAGAACCCAGCGUAGAUGCACAGCUGCCACGGAGGUAGGAAGAAUGAUUCGUUUGCCACCAAAAGCCCAGUUUCUCCAACAGGUGAAUCCCUAGGCCAGCCCGGCCCCUUCCCACACACCCCUACCCCGAGACGGGUGCAGAAUCAGCAGCGGGGAUCAUCCAGAGACUCUCGCAGUCCACGGCAGGUGUCGGAGUGGGCCUCAUUCCAGAGUUGUGGUGGCCGCUCCACCUGGCGAGCUUCGAGGGGACUCCGGCAGGCGCUCGCUGUGGGGUCCUCCCACCAGUCUUCUCAGCACAGGAACGGUGCCUUCACAUUGGUCUUCCGGGGCUUAAAAGCAUAUCAUUCCUGCUUGCUCUUCAGAUGCAAACUCCCCCUCCAAGGAUACCUCCAGGUUCCCUGCCAGCUCACUUGACUCACAUGGCAAUGGUCACCGGGCUGCCUGAGCCCAAAUCAAGCACCGUUUAUUAGGGGGAAGCUCCGUUAUCCAGAAAGCUCAUCUUUGAAGAGCUACCCAUUUCCUGCCAAAGUUGUGGCGGGAAGGCCUUAGGUACUAGAAAACCUUGGGGAAUGGCAAUUAAAGGAUUAUCAUUCUUACUUAUUUGUUUGGAUAAGCAGCAAUCACCCUUCGGAUGCUUAUUGGUGAGAAUAUUUCUAAAAGUGUCCUGCACAUUUCCCUGCUUUGAUGAAUGGAACGGCAGGGCAGGAUUUAACUGUCUGAUGGCUACGGUUUUGGGAAAGUGCCAGAACCUCCACGUCAGCCACCCCAGAGCCACAGGCAGGGUAUGAGCCACAGCAAUGGGCCCCAAGAAAGAGCCCCACACCCACCAUGGUCCACGGAAGACGCUGCUUACUGGCCCCGGGUUACCUGGAGUCAUGUGCAUUCUCCUUACAUCAAGUGAAGAUAAUAUUUUGUUUCCUUCCCACUUUUUCUCUAACACAAGCCACCCCAGUUCUCCCUUCUGACAACAGGCAAGUGGACCCUAGUAGACCUUCCAGAAAAGCCUUAGAGAGCACCCCCAAAUGCUCACAUUUGUCAGCUGUAAUUCCACCCUCAGUUAAAACCUGAUUCUCAAUGUGACUUGGCCAACGCAGCUUGCAAAGCAAGAACGUCUUCAUCUAAGGUUGAAAACAUCAGUUGUUUGGGUUGUGAGAAAAGAAAAGCCCACAAGGUUUCCGAGGCUUGGUGCUGUUUCUCACUGUCCUCAGCUCCUGAUUCUGCAGCUGGUUCUCUCUCCAAGCACUAGCAAAACCCUGCCCUAGGAGCCCCCAGACUCUGAGAGCCCAUGACCAAAAAGAAAAGGAAAGCCAAGUUGGGGAAGAACAGGGGCCCCCAACUCCACAGCCCUCCACUCUGCCCAGAGGGCCCACCCUGGGCUGCCUGGAACCCCCUAAAGUUGCCACCCCCGCAACACAGUAGUGGGGCAGUUCCUGGCAGCGCCUGCAGCCCAUGGGCUGGCUCUGUACCCGCAGCCCCGCCAAGCGUCUGUUAUCUUAUUUACUGGAAUCUGCACAGCCAGGCUCUAGCUCACCGGUGACUAAGGAGCUGCAGCCAUUAUUACCAGGCAGAUGGCAGACUCCCUAAAAGCAGACAUUAAACAAUAAAAUGCCACCACAUACCUUGCCCACAAAAUAAAAUCAAAACAAACACCUAA